rnacentral:rRNA from 1 species
GGAGGGAAAGUUGCAAAGAACUUUGAAGAGAGAGUUCAAGAGGGCGUGAAACCGAUUAGAGGGAAACGGGUAGAGCCAAUGAAAGCCAGUAGCAUUCAGCUGUGUCUUCGGAUGCGGUGUAUUUGCUGCUGGCGACGCUGAUGGAAGUGGUGCUUGCUUUCGACGCCUCCUUAGAGGACUGCUUCGGCAGAACCCUAUUGGUGCGCAUUAGACUGCUUUGUACUGCCUUGAAACAGUGCCCACCCUGGCGACGGCGUGCUUGUUUGACGUCGGAUCGCGUAGAUAAGCGGGUCAAGUGUAGCUUCGUCUAUGCCCCUGCCGCGCGUUCUAAAUCGUACAAGGGAUCGGUAUCUGAGUCAGUGUAAAAGUUGGCGGCCUACCUGACCCGUCUUGAAACACGGACCAAGGAGUCUAACAUGUGCGCGAGUUGAAAGGUGGUAAACCUAUAGAGCAUAAUGAAAGUGAAGGCUGGUUAAACUGGCUGAUAUGGGACCGGGUCUUCACUGGUCUGGUCACCAUAGUCCCGUCGCGUCUGCAUGUCAGUGCGGCGGAGACAGAGCGUACACGUUGGGACCCGAAAGAUGGUGAACUAUGCCUGAGCAGGAUGAAGCCAGGGGAAACUCUGGUGGAGGUCCGAAGCGGUUCUGACGUGCAAAUCGAUCGUCAGACUUGGGUAUAGGGGCGAAAGACUAAUCGAACCAUCUAGUAGCUG